rnacentral:lncRNA from 1 species
UAUGUCGUGUAAAUGGUUUGGGCCAGAAAGGACCUGCCUCUUGAUCCAAUCCUUGAGGAGAGGAUGUUGAUCAGCACGUUUGAUUGGCCUCUUCAGAUCAAUGUUUGCAGACCCUUGAUCACAGAAACAAGAAGAGGACAGCAAGAGAAGAGUGGUGAACAGCACAAACAAGUAGGUCUUAGGAAACUCCAUCUCUGAUUAUUGUUUGACGGCUCUUUAAACAGCCAACUACACCUUCUUAUAGGGCUUCAAUUUCCUAAUCGACUUCGGAACUUAUUGCUUUACCCUUUUUGAAUCUUCUGUGAUGCGAAUACAAGAUUUGCUUACCCUUUUUGUGCUCUAGCCUAGCUAGGGUUUCAGUCUCCUCCUAUAUGAAUAUUGUACUGCGUUGCGGUAAUCUUGAGACUUUAGGGAGACUUUGGAAAAGCCCAAAGGAGAGAGAAAAAUUUUAAAAGAAGCCGAAAUGGACAAAAUUGCCCUUAUUUAUUUUUUGAUUUCCUAAGGAAUCCUUUACAUUUGCAUGUCUUUGGUUUGAAAGUUGAGAGGUUUUUCUGUCUUUUUUGAAAAAGCUUUGGCUUUUUCCAAAAGUGAAAGUUUUUUUAUGGGUAAAACCUAAAUUUACUUUGUAGUAUUUAUUCCAUUCCACAAUAGGAAACUUGUUUUUAAUACAUUGUUUGC